GUACCCCCUGUCCUGACCCCACCGUGACCUUUCCCCCCCCCGGUUUCCUCCCCCCGCAGGUCUCCGGGCCCGACCCCGGGCUCCCCGAGCGCCUCCGGCUCUUCCAGCGGCUGCGGGCGGCGCAGGAGCGACGGGACGGGACCGGGGAUGGCACCCAGGGAGGUCCCUUCCCUCCCGGCACCCCCAUCCGCAUCGCCCUCCCCGGGGGGGGCCGCCUGCCCGGCCGCGCCCUCCAGACCACCCCCUUCCAGGUGGCCGCGCAGCUCGGGGGUGGCCUGGCGGAGGUGGCCCUGGUGGCCCGGGUGAACGGGACCCUGCAGGACCUGGACCAACCCCUGGAGCGCGACACCCACCUGGAGCUGCUGGACUUCUCCACGCCGGAGGGACGGGCCGUGAGUCCCCGGGGCGGCGGGGGGGGGUGACGUGUCCCCAACGACCCUCACAACCUGUCCCCCCCUCUUUAUGUGUGUCCCCCCCCCCCAUUUUUGUGUCCCCCUCCCCAGGCUUUCUGGCGCUCGGGCGCCUGCGUCCUGGGGGCGGUGGCCCAGGAGUUUUACGGGGCCACCUUCUGCGGCGCCCGGGCCACCGAGGACGGCUUCUACUGUGACAUCCACAUGGGGGACAGGUAAGGGGGGGACACACGGACGGACACACACAUGGGGGGGUCCCUUGGGGACCUGUCACCCCCCCCCACUUCUUCCUCCUCCUCCUCCUCCUCCUCCUCCUCAGGACGGUGCAGCGCCACGAGCUGCCGGCGCUGGAGGAGGCUUGUGUGGCUUUCGCCCGGGCCGGCCACCGCUUCGAACGGCUGGAAGCCACUCGUCACCAGUUGGGACAGCUCUUCAAGGACAACACCUUCCAGCUGCAGCAGGCGGAGGACGUCACCUCCACGUCCCCUACGGCCACCGUCUAUAGGUGAGCUGGGGGGGCGGGGGGGGACACAGGGGGGUGGCUCCGGGGUUUUGGGGGGUGUGUCGUCCCCCCCCCCGUGGUGUCCCCACGUCUGUCCCCAUGUCCCUCUGUCUGUCUGUCUGUGUCCCCCCCCCCGCAGGUGUGGCCCCCUCCUCCAGCUCUGCCGCGGCCCCCUCCUCCGGCACACGGGGCUCAUCGCCGCCCUCCGCCUCCUGACGGUGGGUCGAGAUGUGGGGCGGGGGUAGGGGUCUGCGCCCCACUGAUUUUUUUUUUU
ensembl:lncRNA